GCCGGUGUGGCGGAACUGGCAUACGCAACUGACUUAAGAUCAGUCGCCCGAAAGGGAUUGUGGGUUCAAUUCCCACCACCGGCACCA
rnacentral:tRNA from 1 species